ACGCUCGACACCUACGGGAGCAGCAGUAGGGAAUCUUCCGCAAUGGACGAAAGUCUGACGGAGCAACGCCGCGUGAACGAUGAAGGUUUUCGGAUCGUAAAGUUCUGUUGUUAGGGAAGAACAAACUUCGUUUGAAUAAGGCGGAGUCAUGACGGUACCUAACGAGAAAGCCACGGCUAACUACGUGCCAGCAGCCGCGGUAAUCUGAGGCGGGCUGGCAAGGC
rnacentral:rRNA from 1 species